GCACUUAUGGGAUUGGAAUAGGGCAGGUGAGGAUUGGUGUCAACACUGUAGGAUUGGGAUAGGGCAGGUGAGGAUUGGUCCUUGCAGGCUGUCCAAGACACCGCUAUCGACAGUUGGUGUCGGCACUUAUGGGAUUGGAAUAGGGCAGGUGAGGAUUGGUGUCAACACUGUAGGAUUGGGAUAGGGCAGGUGAGGAUUGGUCCUUGCAGGCUGUCCAAGACACCGCUAUCGACGCAGAGGGGUGGUAUGGGGUAUAGGAUUGGUCCCGCCGCCGGUCACCCCUCCGUGGAUUGGAUUGGCCAGAGUAGGAUUGGACCCGGCACUUGAGGAUUGGGUUUGACCGGCCAGGGAUUGGAACACCACUUUGGAGGAUUGGGUUUGGUCGGGUGGGGAUUGGUGUCGGCACUUAUGGGAUUGGAAUAGGGCAGGUGAGGAUUGGUGUCAACACUGUAGGAUUGGGAUAGGGCAGGUGAGGAUUGGUCCUUGCAGGCUGUCCAAGACACCGCUAUCGACAGGCAACGCUGACUGUUGCAGGCUCCUG
rnacentral:lncRNA from 1 species